rnacentral:rRNA from 1 species
UUAUGAUCUCGUACGUGACCUGCGGAGGGACAUUACACAAAUAUGAAGGCGGGCUGGAACCUCUCGGGGUUACAGCCUUGCUGAAUUAUUCACCCUUGUCUUUUGCGUACUUCUUGUUUCCUUGGUGGGUUCGCCCACCACUAGGACAAACAUAAACCUUUUGUAAUUGCAAUCAGCGUCAGUAACAAAUUAAUAAUUACAACUUUCAACAACGGAUCUCUUGGUUCUGGCAUCGAUGAAGAACGCAGCGAAAUGCGAUAAGUAGUGUGAAUUGCAGAAUUCAGUGAAUCAUCGAAUCUUUGAACGCACAUUGCGCCCUUUGGUAUUCCAAAGGGCAUGCCUGUUCGAGCGUCAUUUGUACCCUCAAGCUUUGCUUGGUGUUGGGCGUCUUGUCUCUAGCUUUGCUGGAGACUCGCCUUAAAGUAAUUGGCAGCCGGCCUACUGGUUUCGGAGCGCAGCACAAGUCGCACUCUCUAUCAGCAAAGGUCUAGCAUCCAUUAAGCCUUUUUUUCAACUUUUGACCUCGGAUCAGGUAGGGAUACCCGCUGAACUUAA